CCUACGGGAGGCAGCAGUAGGGAAUCUUCCACAAUGGGCGCAAGCCUGAUGCAGCAACGCCGCGUGGGGGAAGAAGGUCUUCGGAUCGUAAAACCCUGUUGUUAGAGAAGAAAGUGCGUGCGAGUAACUGUUCACGUUUCGACGGUAUCUAUCCAGAAAGCCACGGCUAACUCCGUGCCACAAGCCGCGGCAAGACGUAGGUGGGAAGCGUUAUCCGGAUUUAUUGGGCGGAAAGGGAACGGAGGCGGGCUGUUAAGUCUGAUGUGAAAGCCUUCGGCUUAACCGGAGUAGUGCAUUGGAAACUGGGAGACUUGAGUGCAGAAGAGGAGGGUGGAACUCCAGGUGUAGCGGUGAAAUGCGUAGAUAUAUGGAAGAACACCAGUGGCGAAGGCGGCUCUCUGGUCUGUAACUGACGCUGAGGUUCGAAAGCGUGGGUAGCAAACAGGAUUAGAUACCCGUGUAGUC
rnacentral:rRNA from 1 species